GCUUGUCUCAAAGAUUAAGCCAUGCAUGUCUAAGUGUAAAUAAGUCUAUACUGUGAAACUGCGAAUGGCUCAUUAAAUCAGUUAUCGUUUAUUUGAUGAUCUCUUACUACUUGGAUAACCGUAGUAAUUCUAGAGCUAAUACAUGCACAAAAUCCCGACUUACGAAGGUCUGUGUUUAUUAGAUGGAAACCAAAGCGGGGAAACCCGGAUUUAUGGUGAUUCAUAAUAACCCUCCGAUCGGCUAUGCCGACGCAUCAUUCAAGUUUCUGCCCUAUCAGCUUUGGACGGUAGGGUAUUGGCCUACCGUGGCUUUAACGGGUAACGGAGAAUUAGGGUUCGAUUCCGGAGAGGGAGCCUGAGAAAUGGCUACCACAUCCAAGGAAGGCAGCAGG
rnacentral:rRNA from 1 species